UGGAGUGAAAACCGUUGAGAUGUCACGAAGGGGAGCAGAAGUGGCGUUGGCAGAACCGAGAACUGCCAGGCGCUCCAGAACGAGAACUGCGUCUCGAAUCAAAGAUUCCCCGAUAUUCCAGGCAGAAAGCGAUGCCAAUU
rnacentral:rRNA from 1 species